UACGGAGGGUGCAAGCGUUAUCCGGAUUUACUGGGUUUAAAGGGUGCGCAGGCGGAUAUGUAAGUCAGUGGUGAAAUCUCCGGGCUUAACCCGGAAACUGCCGUUGAUACUAUAUAUCUUGAAUGCUGUGGAGGUAAGCAGAAUAUGUCAUGUAGCGGUGAAAUGCUUAGAGAUGACAUAGAAUACCUAUUGCGAAGGCAGCUUACUACGCAGAUAUUGACGCUCAUGCACGAAAAGCGUGGGGAUCAAACAGGA
rnacentral:rRNA from 1 species